UACGUAGGGGGCAAGCGUUAUCCGGAAUUACUGGGUGUAAAGGGAGCGUAGACGGUAAUGUAAGUCUGGAGUGAAAGGCGGGGGCCCAACCCCCGGACUGCUCUGGAAACUAUGUUACUAGAGUGCAGGAGAGGUAAGCGGAAUUCCUAGUGUAGCGGUGAAAUGCGUAGAUAUUAGGAGGAACACCAGUGGCGAAGGCGGCUUACUGGACUGUAACUGACGUUGAGGCUCGAAAGCGUGGGUAGCAAACAGG
rnacentral:rRNA from 1 species